AGUCCUGCGCAUGUGGGCAGAGUACAAGCUAAUUGGCAGGGCUGUUCCAAAUCCUAAAGAACGCGCGCGCUGCCUGCUCGCCAGCGGGAGGGCCGUGUGCCCAGCUUGCGCCCUGACAUUUUCCGAGGCCUGGGCGAGGCCACCUGCCUGACGAAGGCUUACCAGGGAAAAUCAGGUCCUGACAGCCUGACAGGGACAACCGCCCAGAGGAUUCAUCUGCUCGCGAUGCCUGGUCAGCAAGGAGGAGACUCGACCUGGGACGAGGAAGAGGCCUUGAAGGGACAGAGGAGAGCGCAUCCUCCAUCCCCCGGCCAGGGAGAAGUCACGCGGACCCCCAGGUUGCUGGGCCGCGAUGGGGGGAAGAGGAGACCACCCCCAGCUCCGCAGCGAGCGCCCUCACUUCGGGGAGACAGAGGCGUCGAUCCCUCCUGCGGACGGCUGGGGGCGCUGCGCUUCAACCGAAGGCAGAGAUCCUGGACCGGGGCGAGGCAAGCCCUCCCGGAGGAGAGGAGCUCUGAAGGGGGAAAACAGCUCUGCAGAGUGUAGAGGAGCCGGACUUUGCAGCCAGGUACCUCUGUGCAAGUCUCAGCUGUGCCUCUGAAGUAGCUAGCCGUUGCCCAGCACUGUGCUAAGGUCUUUUCAUCACUGUGUAAUUGAAGGCUCACAGCCACCCUUUAAGGAAAACGAUCUUGUCGUCAUUAUUUUAUAAGAAAUGGAAUGGAAGCUCAGUGCCACCCCUAGCCCAUGGACACAUUCCCAGAGAGCGGCAGUGUGUCUGGCCUGGAACUUAAUGAAUUCUGUCGGACAGAAGUCCAUGCUCUUAACCAUUAGGCCUCCCAUACAAAGAUACUUUGUACGGGGACAUGAGACACAGCCUAAUAGCACAGAAACUCACAGAGGACGAGUUUCUUAGUUUUGUCAUCUCUGAAAUGGGAAUAAUAAUAUUACUCCCACCUUGCAAGGCUUUGGGAAAGAUUAGAGAGAAUGUAAAAAGGUCCAUGUGAGAGGUCCUCGUGGGUUAAUGUGUGGGGGGAGUCCCCAGUCCCUCCCCGGGCACUCAGAGCGAUGUGGGAAGACUGUGGAGCCCAUGCUUAUUGAUGCUGUUUCAUUUCAAUUAAACCUCCGUCAGAAACAUCGCAUGACAUCAAAAUGGAAGAGAUGUUGAGUCUGAACGGUGCUGCCUCCGCAACCCAGGAUCCUACCAGCUGCAGAAGUCGCGAGUAAUGCCAGCCGGGCUCCGAAGACUCCCUCAGCCCCCGGGGCCAGUGGACAGUGCCCACAUCCUCUGUGGCCCUCUCGCAGCUGUAGAAGACAGGCACAGGUCUUCCGUUGUGUGCAGAUAUAUUGAAUGCCUGGUAUGUACAAGAGGAGGGAAUCCACUGGUGAGUGAGCAAGACGAGGUCCCUAUCCAGUGGGGGUUAUUCUGUUGGGAGAUAAAAGAAUGAUUCAGGAGUGGGAUGUGUAUUCUGCAACUUAUCUCAAUCUUCGUCAAUAGCUAUUUCUUGCAUUUUUAAAGAAACCAUGAGAAACGUGAGGAGAGAGACUGUGUCCUUCAUCUCCUGUCUCCACAAGUGGCACAGGUCCAAGGAAAGGUGGCCUGGUUUGAGGUCAGCAGGGCUUCAUUAUUCAUAGAGGUUGCUGCCCAGUUUUGGCAGGGAGGAGGGGCUGCUUAUGGGAGGAGGGACUGGGCUUCCCAGAGGCCUGGUGGACUCCUCUCUAGCAGUGGGUGGGAAGAGGAAUUUAAUGAGCUUUUAAAGAAGACAAUAAAGAAGAUCCAAAGACCUGGCCAUCUGGACUUCUGCUCUUAAUGAGAAAGUAAUCAUGGCUCCAGAAAAUAGCUGGUUAAACUUAGAAGAGAAGCCAAGUAUGUUUAAUUUCCAUUGAAAACUGUUUGGUAGUCUCCAUGGGCAAGGCUGUGACAGUCAGUGCCACUUAAUGAGGCUGCCAUGGGCUUCUCCAGCUCAGGGAGAAGGAAGUCAGGGGACCAGGGAGGUAGGUUCAGGGCAGGGAAAAUGCUAGAGGCUCUGGGAGGUGAUUCCCUGGGUGCAGAGACGCAGCCAAGACCCCUAUGGUCAGGAGACCUAUGGUGCCCUUAGAAUCAGAGCUGAAGGAACUGUGGAGUUCAUCUGGCCCAACCCCUUUAUUAGAUGAGAAACCCGAGGCCCAUAGAGGUUAGACAGCCUGAUCAAGGUCAGACAGCUAGGUGGUGACAAAGCCAGGAGUUAGCCCUGAGUUCUCCUGACUCAGCAGGAAGCCAAGCCCCCCUCAAGUAGGAUAUGGGAAACUUGGCUGCUACCCCACCAUAUACAGACAUGUUUCAAGAUUAGUAUCUCGUCCUCCAUCCUUUCUCUCUCCCUCCCAAGAAGAACUGAAUGCCUGUAUGCUCCAGGGACUGGGAUAGGUGCUGAGGAGAGAGACGUCCAGGUAUGGUUGCAGCUCUGAGGGGUUGGCUACAGGGGAGGAAGACAUAAUAACCGCUAGGCAAUUGCAGUUUGGUGUGGUCACACAGGACACUUAAUGACCUUUAAGUGCACAGGGCCCUCCUGGCUGAGCCUGGGAACUUCAGGGACCACCUUCUGGAGGACAGGAUGCCUGUGCUGAGUCUUGAAGAAUGAGAGGGAUUCCAGCAUGGGACAGGCUUUGAGAAGGCAAAGGAGAUCCUGAGAAUUUCAUUUCAGGAUGCAAUGAAAUAAAUAAAACCUCUGUCAUUCUCUGGUGCUGACAACAUCCUGGAAUGUAUCUACAGCUCCAGGGACGCCAUUUUGUCCUGAGAGGAAGCCAGCUUCCUCCCUCAGGAAGGAAACCCAGGCCAAGAGGACGGAAUGGUUACUCAUGUCAUGCGUGCUCAGUGGCUGCCCAUCUCAGCAUCAGCGGUAUGAACAGAGCACUCUGGAGGGGCAGGGAGAGGUGGCUUUGUGGGUAGUGGGAUGCCACCUUCACUGUCCUUCAGUCCAAUAGGACAUGUAGCAAAUGUAAAUA
ensembl:lncRNA novel transcript